UCAGAGGGCCGGGCGGCCGCCGGUGCAUUCGUGCACGGGAGGAAAGUCCGGGCUCCAAGGAGCAACGGUGCCGGGUAACGCCCGGCGAGAGCGAUCUUAGGGACAGUGCCACAGAAAACAGACCGCCCGCGCUUCGGCCGGGUCAGGGCGAAACGGUGCGGUAAGAGCGCACCGCGGACCGGGUAACCGGAACGGCACGGCAAACCCCACCGGGAGCAAGACCGAAUAGGGACGGCAUAUGGGCUGCUUCGCCCCGUCGUCCGGGUUGGUCGCUGGAGGCCGCGGGCAACCGUGGUCCUAGAGGAAUGGUCGCCCAUCCGUCGCCUUCGGGCGGUGGUGGACAGAACCCGGCUUACAGGCCCUCUGGCACU
rnacentral:RNase_P_RNA from 1 species